rnacentral:rRNA from 1 species
GACGGGACCGCACAAGCGGUGGAUGAUGUGGAUUAAUUCGAUGCAACGCGAAAACCUUACCUACCCUUGACAUGUCCGGAAUCCCGAAGAGAUUUGGGAGUGCUCGCAAGAGAACCGGAACACAGGUGCUGCAUGGCUGUCGUCAGCUCGUGUCGUGAGAUGUUGGGUUAAGUCCCGCAACGAGCGCAACCCUUGUCAUUAGUUGCCAUCAUUUGGUUGGGCACUCUAAUGAGACUGCCGGUGACAAACCGGAGGAAGGUGGGGAUGACGUCAAGUCCUCAUGGCCCUUAUGGGUAGGGCUUCACACGUCAUACAAUGGUCGGUACAGAGGGUUGCCAACCCGCGAGGGGGAGCUAAUCCCACAAAGCCGAUCGUAGUCCGGAUCGCAGUCUGCAACUCGACUGCGUGAAGUCGGAAUCGCUAGUAAUCGUGGAUCAGCAUGUCACGGUGAAUACGUUCCCGGGUCUU